rnacentral:sRNA from 1 species
GACCCGGGCCACAGCCCUAGGCCCUCUGCCUCUGGGGGAAAAAUGCUGCUGGCCUAGAGAGAAAGGGCUUGAUGACUUGGCAUAACAAGAAUCAAAGUCAAGGAGACCAAAUAAAAAAUACAAAAAACAAAACAAGCGGGCAUGUUUUCAGUUUUUUCUCCUAUUUGUACAAUAUCUUCGUGACACAUGAGCAUUAGAACAUUCCAGAAGAUGAGUAAUUCAAGUAUUUACUUCAAGAAACUAAAUGCUAAAGUUGGGGAGCCUCCAAGAAAAAGAAAAUGUAAAUCAGUUCCUCACCUGCUACCAGUUGUCUUACCUUCAUCUCCACCAUCUAUCAAAACCCGAUUGGGAAACGAAUUUUUCCACCAAGAAAGCUCUCUCCUGGCAAAUGCCUUACUGGGUAAAGUCCUUGUGAGGCAGAUAAACGAUGAGGAGCAUAUCUGUGGUAGAAUAGUAGAAACUGAAGCAUAUUUGGGCAUGGUGGAUAAAGCUGCUCAUUCAAGUUGUAAACGUUCGGUGCGUACCGAGCCGAUGUUUAUGAAGCCUGGGACUGUAUACGUCUUUUCUAUCUAUGAAAUGUAUCACUGUUUCAACAUCUCGAGCGGAGGCGAUGGGACAGCCGUUCUUUUACGUGCCAUAGAACCCCUUUCUGGAUUAGAACGAAUGCAAUAGAUCCGCUCCGAGUCUCAAAAGAAGUCGUGCCAUCGUCUACCGACACACCAAUUAUGCAACGGCCCUUCUAAAUUGUGCCUUUCGUUUGGUAUCACAAAGGAAUUGAAUAAGGUGGACCUAGCGGAUCCCUCGUCUAUAAUCUGGAUAGAAGACUGGAGUCCUCAACCAGAAUUUGUUACCGUAACAUCGACUAGAAUUGGUUUAAGUAAAAAAGCUGCCGAGUGGAUUGAUGCUCCAUUAAGGUUUUACAUAGCGGAUUCUAAGAGCAACACCAUCAGGAUCGACGGCCAUAUUGAAGGGCCAGAACUCUGUCGAGGCAGUUGCAUCUUCAUCACGCUCUCCAACACUUGACGAAAUAAAGCUGUAAAACACCCAUUUUGCAAGAAAAAAACUCAAACAUGGCUAACACUGCUUCUCAGAAAGAUUUGCUCGAUACUAUUUGGCAUGCUACUCGUGGUUUUAUCGGGAAAGAAUUACUUUUAGAGAGCAAACUCGUACCAGUUCCCUACCUCUCGAAUGCUGAUGAUUUCGGCCUCUUCUCAGUUUUCGUCAAGAGCAAAUCGGAAAACGUAAGUCAAAAGAUUAAGCAUUCGCUGGCGGGUGCUUGUUACCAUGUAAUUGGCCACGUUUCCCAAGUCAUUGAGCUGGAAAAAACUGACCUUGAUCGUUUGUUGAACAGCGCUAAACCACACACAGAAGACGUUGGCAAUCAGUCCGAAAAGUGGGAGAAGGACAUCGAUUUGGGUUCAAAGUCAGUACAUUUGACCGUCGAAGGGCUUCACAAAUUUCUCAUCCCGCUAAAUUUGAGUGAAGGAGACCUUUGUCUGAAGCAAAAUAUUCCUGAUCUGGUCGGCGCCAAAAGCGUGUACAUCAUUACAGAUGUAAUGAAGGCCAGUCGCGUUACAGCAUGUGUUACAAGCGAUGACGACACGAUGGAAAGAGUUUCUGCUGUUUCUGUUCCAAUAGGAUUUGGCUAUUCGAAAUUCCGAUUGACUCCCGAGGGACUCGUUGCUGAACAGAUGAAAUGCAAGCCUGCUAUCCACGGCAAAUGGGUUGUUGUGAUUAAUCAACUCUCCGAAAUCCUCAACAAAUUGUAAGACUCGCAUGCCAUGCUGCUCAAAUCUCAAAUCCUGGUUUCACGGUGUACGACGCUAAAACUGAUUUUCAACAUUUUCAAAAUUAUCUUUUAAACCGUUUUAACAUUUCAAAACGUUCCUACUAGCGGUAUUUUCAAAAUUUUUACUUACUAACUCGUUACUUUCGACUCGUUCUGUUACUGUCACACGCCGUCCCAUUCGCCAUAUUUGUGUGUCCUAUUCGAGUUCAAUAUUUUAAUUACAAAUACCUCACAAUGUUUUGCAAACCUAA